rnacentral:rRNA from 1 species
UACGAAGGGGGCUAGCGUUGCUCGGAAUUACUGGGCGUAAAGCGCACGUAGGCGGGUUGUUAAGUCGGGGGUGAAAUCCUGGAGCUCAACUCCAGAACUGCCUUUGAUACUGGCGAUCUUGAGUCCGGGAGAGGUGAGUGGAACUGCGAGUGUAGAGGUGAAAUUCGUAGAUAUUCGCAAGAACACCAGUGGCGAAGGCGGCUCACUGGCCCGGUACUGACGCUGAGGUGCGAAAGCGUGGGGAGCAAACAGG